AGCUCAGUUGGUUAGAGCGACGGACUGUUAAUCCGCAGGUCGCCCGUUCGAGUCGUGGA
rnacentral:tRNA from 1 species